UCUUCCGCAAAAAAGCAUCCAGUUAUAGAAGGGGUUAGACAAAGCCAUGUUGUUUCCAUUAUUCCCCCAUCUUCCAAGUGGAAAAUGACGUGGUGGCUUGCUCAGGCGAGAGUACUAAAGCCAGCCGUGUGUGACUUUCUCCAUAUCGAAGUGUACAUCCUUGCAGCAUAUUACCUCAUGGAGAUCUAAUAAGAAAAUGGACGCGACAUAUGUAACUGCGACUCUUCUAGUCAUAUAUGUCGCCCUCUGGAAGCACACCAGCGCCGCUGCUUCAAGGAACCCUGCCUGCAGUGUAGUACCUGACGUUGAAAACUGCACCAUAGUUCUCUUUCGGUGGAGCUACGACUCGGGAUCGAACGAGUGUAAACAAAAUUACAUUUGCCGUGAAAACGCAAAUAACUUUGAGACAAAAGACCUGUGCGAAAGCACAUGCCCACCAGUUCCAGGUGUCACGCCUACACCGAAACCAAAGAAUUGCCAUUAUUGGCUCACUAAUGGACGCGGAUGCUACACAUAUUGGUUUACAACCUAUUAUGAUUACUGGGGAAGACAACACCCGGUAAUGGUAUACACUGGAUGUGGAAGGUGGAGAAAAAAGCUUUAUGCGUAUGACAUGAGUACGAGAAAAUGCAUAGAAAUAACAAGAAGACGCUAUGGAUCAUGGGAAUAAAGCAAGAUAACUUUCUUAAUUUUACCCUUGGUAGCAACACAUUUGUCGCCAUUGGGUCAUCCUAGACGGAACAGAACGCUGGGCGAUGAACGCACGACCAUGAAUGUCGGUCACAAUCACGCAUCUGAUUAGUCAUAAUUGCGAGCGCUUCAUAAUGCUUGCUCAUUUAAAAAUAAAAAAUAACACGGAGCAGUUUCACUAGGCUGCGUGUCAUACAAAGCUUUUCAGUUUUGAUCAAACUAAGUACGAAUUAGGAUAGUUAUUUCAAAAUGAUGAUGUGUGAGUACUUCCUGUUAUAAAAGGUAGGAGUACCACUCUAACUGCUUUGAAGCUGCCAAUGAUGAAUAUUUAGGCGAAAUAUAUCUAUAUUCCGAUUCUCGCGCAAUGUCUUAAAGUAUGAAUUACGCCUCAAAACUGAUCGCAUUAUGGGCAAAUCAAAAUGUUUCUAUUGUGGUUUCGAAGAUCACGUAAUGGUCAAACGUCUUUUCCUGCAAAAAAACGUAAUCCCGCCGUCAGUUAGACUGAAAAUUUAUAAUACAAUGUAUAAAGCUACGCUCUUGCAGGUAUGACAGCAUAAGUUUGCUGCAAGUACAUUUUUGUGUACCUCCUUUCCACACUUCAGGCUGCAUUAAACAGGCACUGACACCAUUUUUCG